rnacentral:rRNA from 1 species
UACGAAGGGUGCAAACGUUGCUCGGAAUUAUUGGGCGUAAAGCGCGCGUAGGCGGCUUGGCAAGUCGGAUGUGAAAUCCCUCGGCUCAACCAAGGAAGUGCAUCCGAAACUGCUGAGCUUGAGUACUUAAGAGGAUCGCGGGAAUUCCCGGUGUAGAGGUGAAAAUUCGUAGAUAUCGGGGAGGAACACCAGUGGCGAAGGCGGC